UAAAAAUUCUGUUAAAAGUAGUAGAUGUACAAUUCGAUGCGACUGGUGGUCAAACUAGUCACCGAACAAAUAUCUUGUUAACCUUGAAGACUAUGUUUGUACUGUCUGAUAUCGUCGGAACUCCAUAUAUUUGCUUUCCGCACUCUUCUUUUGUUUUAAGACAAAGAAAUUGAUAUAUGUAAAGUAUAUUCAGAUAUUCUCUCAAUCAACUACUUAACGUAUAUGUAUUUAACUAUGAUCUAGGGGAAGAAUAAUCUGUAAUAAAUCGGGCAGUAAUACGAUACUAUAUUAUUUUUAAUUAAAUUUUUGCUCUGAGUGUGACUCACUCAUUUGACUGAGUAAUCUGGUUUCACGGUUCACACUUCAUAAGCUGUACUAGACAAAAAGCGCGAGUAUAGAGUCUCUGACAAGUUUCAAUAGUUUGUUGGUGCUAAAUCUACUCGGAAAUUAAAUCUCUACCUUUAACCUGGGCCUUAGUUUCAUCACAGGCCAUAUGGACUUACAGGCUUUGAGUA